GUGGGGAAUAUUGGUCAAUGGGCGGGAGCCUGAACCAGCCAAGUCGCGUGAAGGAAGAAGGAUCUAUGGUUCGUAAACUUCUUUUGCAGGGGAAUAAAGUGCAGGACGUGUCCUGUUUUGUAUGUACCCUGAGAAUAAGGAUCGGCUAACUCCGUGCCAGCAGCCGCGGUAAUACGGAGGAUCCGAGCGUUAUCCGGAUUUAUUGGGUUUAAAGGGUGCGUAGGUGGUUUGAUAAGUCAGCGGUGAAAGUUUGCAGCUUAACUGUAAAAAUGCCGUUGAAACUGUCGGACUUGAGUGUAAAUGAGGUAGGCGGAAUGCGUGGUGUAGCGGUGAAAUGCAUAGAUAUCACGCAGAACUCCGAUUGCGAAGGCAGCUUACUAAGCUACAACUGACACUGAAGCACGAAAGCGUGGGGAUCAAACAGGAUUAGAUACCCUGGUAGUCC
rnacentral:rRNA from 1 species